rnacentral:rRNA from 1 species
CCUACGGGUGGCAGCAGUGGGGACUAUUGGGCAAUGGGCGCAAGCCUGACCCAGCAACGCCGCGUGAAGGAAGAAGGCUCUCGGGUUGUAAACUUCUUUUCUCAGGGACGCAGAAAGUGACGGUACCUGCGGAAUAAGCCACGGCUAACUACGUGCCAGCAGCCGCGGUAAUACGUAGGUGGCAAGCGUUAUCCGGAUUUACUGGGUGUAAAGGGCGGGUAGGCGGGGAAGCAAGUCAGAGGGGAAAUCCACGGGCUCAACCUGUGGCCUGCAUUUGAAACUGUUUGUCUUGAGUACUGGAGAGGCAGACGGAAUUCGUAGUGUAGCGGUGAAAUGCGUAGAUAUUAGGAGGAACUCCAGUGGCGAAGGCAGUCUGCUGGACAGCAACUGACGCUGAGGCGCGAAAGCGUGGGGAGCAAACAGGAUUAGAUACCCCUGUAGUC